rnacentral:misc_RNA from 1 species
GUGGCAUUUCAGAAAACCUUCUCUUCCCACUUGCAGAAGUUACAGGAGGUGUGUAAGAACCCAAAGCAGAAGCAUCUGUUCUGAACGAACUUGUAGUAGAGGGAGUGGGAGUAUCAGCAGUCAUCGAGGGAGUUGAAUUGCGAGCACCAUCUAUUACAGUUGAAGAAGAGACCACAGUGGAGGAUGUUGAAUACAAACUAUCUGAUUUCA